UGCAUGUACUCUACCAGCCUCUGCAGACACUCGAAGAAGGGGUGCCCGGGAAUUCCCAGGGAUAUGAUUCUGCUUAGAGAGAGCCACGCAGGUGGCUGCUGACUCUGUGACACGUAACCCCACCUGCAACCACUUCCGGGCACAAUACACAUCUUAUGCAGUCACCGAAGAGGGCGCUGAAUUUUCUUCCUCUGGCGGAGAGCUGAAGAAUGGUUACCAUAGGGACAGAAGAGUGCGAAGAGGCGUGGAAUUUCCCUCCCAACAACCUUCUCCAAGGGUGGCUCCCUCCGUGGGGUAGGCUGGGUAAAUUGCUCCACACCACCGUGCCUGCUACACGCAGGGGGAAAAUGCGAGCUGUGCCGGUGGUUGUUGUCAUCAGUAGCACACACGGAUGGGAUCAGGAGCCAGGCUUCCUGACUCAAUCAUCGGCAGGAACCAGGCCUGUGGCCCCACCUACCUGGAACGGGGGCGAGAAGGGAAGUUUUCUGUGUCUUCAGGAGCAACUGAUACAAAACAGCAUCUGGUGAACUCGUAGUGCCAGCCGUGUGUGGUGCCAUAGCCACACCUCGCUUCCUGGAGGCACCGCAAAACGAUGACAUCAACCACCUCACGUCAUUACCGAGAUCCUAACUGACGAGGACACUGAAGCUUAGAAAAACUGCAUAACUUGCCUAAAGCCACCCCGAGAUUCGGGGUUGAACUUCAGGUUUGAAGUCUCUGGAACUUGCGCCCUUCCCUCUCAGAUCCCAGGAGAGUUGGAAGGGAAACUGCUUCCCCUGGGGGGCAUCAACGCAUAAACCACUGCCUUUCUGCCCACCAGGCCCGGGUCCAUGAACAGAAACACAGCCAGCUAACUCCGGACUCCCCCCGUGUGGCCGUGACACUUGGAAGAGGUGACCCACAGUUCCUGAUGAUUUAUUUUUCAUUUAGGCCCAAAAUAUAGGAGGCAUCUUUUGAUUUUCUUCCCUUUCUCUUGUGUUCUGUGUUAGGAGGUCCAGCUUGUUCACCUUCUAGAACCUGUAUCAAAUUAAAAUGCUGACAAUUCCUCUGGAGAAGCUGCAGUGGGGCCCUCUGUUUUUUUGGGGGGGUCUCCUGCUGCUCUGGCUGUACGUCCAUCUGCUGCUCUGGCCCCUCAUGUCUGACCCACCCUACUCAGAAAGUCAAACUCACCUUGUGGGUGAAGCAAGAGGCACCCUGGUGUAUAAUGUCAGGGGCGUUGAGUUCUGUGUCUCCUUGGGUCCUCUGCUGCCAUCUCUCAACCCCUUGCCC
rnacentral:lncRNA from 1 species